CUGACGUAUUAAAUUUAUGUUCAACUGCAGGAGGGUGAAUGGAUUUUGAAUAUCUAAUUCCAAAGAAUGCGCGGCUGAGGGCCCACAUCUCACAGCGAAGCAAUCUACGGUACGUGAAGACAGUCCUGGAGGAUUUCGAUGAGCGGCAGCGUACGGACUUCCGUAACUCAUGCCUAGGGUUCUUAUCCGAGGUUCGAGAUCUCCAAUUCUCAGCCCAACUAAUCCAGCAACUCGUUUUCCGCUGCAUACAAACUGAAAAGGCCAGCGAAAUAUGGUCUAAAGUGCAAGGUCACUUAGCCAGAUUUGGCCUGCAAGAGUAUGCUCUUGUCACGGGUUUAAUGUGUGGUCCUCUUCCAGAUGACGCCGCGAUGGACCGAGUUCUACAAAAGAAGAGGUUGAAGGAUAAAUACUUCAAAUCAACGACGAGGGUUUCGUGUGGCGAACUUGAGAAGGCAUUUCUCCGGUCGUCGACGCCCCGAGCUGAUCGUUACAAGCUCGGGCUUGCUUUAAUCAUCGAAGGAGUGUUCAAUGCUUGGAUAGCCAUGCCGGUAUUGAACUUCUGACACUGUCGAUCGUGGACGAUCUGGACAUGUUCUAUUCUUACCCUCGGGAUAGAGUAUCCUACAUUCGUCUAAUAAAGGGCUUCCGACGUAGACUGGGACGAAAAUUUGUAGAUGCCACAAAUAAGAAGGAGAAGGCGGUUACUUAUACAGUUCACGGCUUCCCCAUUGCCAUGCAGGUAUUACACACAAAUUUUGUACAACGUAUUCAUUAUUUCAUCAGAAAUGUAUCGUCAUUGGUUCCUUUAAUGUUCAACUCACAAUUACUAUCUACUGUAACAGAUCUGGGCAUUCGAGGCAAUACCAAAAAUUGGGGAUAGGUUUGCUCGACGAUUGGGUCAUCAAUCCCCACGGCUUUUGAGUUGGACGUGUACCAAACAGUUGUAACACCAGACGUAUGAUGCAUUUUUCAAGAGCAUUAAGGUAUUGGAUUGCGUUUCAUGCAUAAGAUCUGCAUGUGCCGUUACUCGUUACAUUUUCGGUGACAUUAAUUUAUUUUAUGUUGCAGCUGCACGUGUCCGCGACGCUUCGUUGCACCGAAGCCGAGCUUGGACAACCAUGUAUCUCGAUCCUCCUGCCGUUUGAAGACCGUACUGUACCUGUGCUGGAUGAGGUUGCAAAGGACAUUAUCCCUACACAGCUUCACCCAGAUCCUUUGCCCAGUAGGG
rnacentral:lncRNA from 1 species